GAUGAACGCUGGCGGCGUGCCUAAUACAUGCAAGUCGAGCGAACGGACGAGAAGCUUGCUUCUCUGAUGUUAGCGGCGGACGGGUGAGUAACACGUGGAUAACCUACCUAUAAGACUGGGAUAACUUCGGGAAACCGGAGCUAAUACCGGAUGAUAUUUUGAACCGCAUGGUUCAAAAGUGAAAGACGGUCUUGCUGUCACUUAUAGAUGGAUCCGCGCUGCAUUAGCUAGUUGGUAAGGUAACGGCUUACCAAGGCAACGAUGCAUAGCCGACCUGAGAGGGUGAUCGGCCACACUGGAACUGAGACACGGUCCAGACUCCUACGGGAGGCAGCAGUAGGGAAUCUUCCGCAAUGGGCGAAAGCCUGACGGAGCAACGCCGCGUGAGUGAUGAAGGUCUUCGGAUCGUAAAACUCUGUUACUAGGGAAGAACAGAUGUGUAAGUAACUGUGCACAGCUUGACGGUACCUAAUCAGAAAGCCACGGCUAACUACGUG
rnacentral:rRNA from 1 species